rnacentral:misc_RNA from 1 species
UCUUUCUUUCUUUCUUUCUUUCUUUUUUUUCCCUAUAACGUGGAUGAACUCGUUCCAAAGUUUAACAGGAACAAAAUUCAGACUAGACCACCUCUAUCCAUCUUUUCUGGAAUGAGGUAAGUUCCAUCCCCUAUAAAGAGAUCUAUUGGUCCCCCUAUCACCAUUACAUUACCAUUAUUAAAAAAAUCAAACCCAAUAUACAUUCAGCCAAAGGGGGAAAAUGGUUAAGACAAAUUGGUCAGAGGGAAUUGAGGUAAUCUCUUAUCAAACCUAAAAUGGGAUUGGCAUAUGAAGUUCCCUCCAAUCUCUGGAACAAGAUUCCAUCCAUCCGGGCUUGAACUCCAUCUGAAAAUGAUAGGUCUUGUAGCAGUUCUUUCAAUGUUCUGUCUACUCCUGCUAUUGAGCUCCCUAUGCCACUUAAGAUCUCUGGCAGUGUAGGCGAGGGUCUUGACAGUUCAACCAGGGUUACCUGUUUGUCUUGGGGAAUGUUGGCUUUCUGUUUUGCGAUGGCAAUAGCUCGAGAUAGCCCACCAGUAGCAUCAACUAGACCUCGUGAAGCUGCAUCUUUACCAGUCCAGACUCUGCCUUGUGCAACCUCUUCCAUCUUAUCCACAGCCAUUGAUCUUGAAAAUGCUGCCUUGUCUCGAAAUUGCUUAUAUGCAUUUUGAGCUGACCUAGCAAAAAGUUCUGCUUCAUCUGGUCUCAUAGGUCGUUGUUCAGC